AAGUCACAUCCCACACAAUCAUUAAAGUAGAGAAUACAUUCUGCAGGAUGAGUGAAAAGGCAUUUAUGAUUCUUGGGGGCAGAUGUUCUACAGUUGCCUGUGCUAGUUCAUGUCUUUCUGCAGAUCACAUUCUUAACCUCUAGAGAGUCUUGCAGGACCAGAGCCUUACCUUUCCCAGUCUGCAAUCUCUACAGGUACAGAAACACCCCCAGUUCAAGGAUCUUCACACCUGGAUUUAGGCCUACACCUGCAACUACCCCAGGAGGCGCUUGGAAACCACCGUGAAUUGGACCGCACUGGGAAACACAGAUGAAGAAAGUCAACACCGCUUUGUCCUUCAGUGCCUGGCUCCUUUUUCAGCUCGUCUUGCAACUCCAGGCAUUGGAGUCCAGGGAGGGGCACGCCGCCUUUACCCUGUGCUUCCCACGAUCUUGUCUCCUUAAUCCUCACUGCAGCUCUCUGCCAUAGGGUCUUAUACUGCUUUACAUGUGGGAAACUGAAGCUCAGAGGGUUUCACAGCAGGGCAGGGAGGCCAGAUGUGAAUCUGUACAUACCAAGCUUUCUAAUUUUUCAGUAGUUUCCAAGCAUCUUUUUUUUUUCUUGUUUCGUCAUUGGUGUCUUUUUUUUUUUUUUUUUUUUUUUUUGAGACAAAGUCUCUGUCACCCAGGCUGGGGUGCAGUGGUGUGAUCUCAGCUCACUGCAACCUCCGUGUCUCACAUUCAAGCAAUUCUCAUGCCUCAGCCUCCCAAGUAGCUGGGACUACAAGUGCCCACCACACCCAGCUUAUUUUUGUAUUUUUAGUAGAAACAGGGUUUCACCAUGUUGGCCAGGCUGGUCUUGAACUCCUGACCUCAGGUGAUCCACACGCCUUGGCCUCCCAAUAAGCUGGAAUUAUUGAUAUGAGCCACUGUGCCCGGCCAUGUCAUUGGUGCCUUAACCAAGCCUCUUUUAAUUUUUCAAACUUAAGUGCCCCUGUCCCACAGUUACUGCUGCUGAGCCCUUUCAAGGUGAGUCAGUGAGGAGGGGGAAAAGCGGAAGCGGUGUGGGAAGAGGCGGGGUCUGGGCCAGCUGCUGGUCCUGCUCUCCUCCCUCAUCUGGCCUCUAGGCUCCUAGGAGUGGUUUGGAACCUGCGCCAUGUGCUCUGGAGGCUGUGUCAGGGCAGGCGCGGCUUGGAACCCGCACCAUGUGCUCUGGGGGCUGUGGCAGGUCAGGGGCAGCUUGGAACCUGCGCCAUGUGCUCUGGGGGCUGUGCCAGGGCAGGGGGAGUCCUAGUGUCCCCUGCGCACAACACAGACAGAAUGCUGGGUCCACCCAGUGGGCGGUCGGGUGCCAGGCCAGUGCUUACCCCGCCGUGUUUGCAGCUCGAGGCCAGCUGGCUGCAGGUGCAGGGCUAUGCAUCAGGGGUCAGGGUGCACACAUCCCUGCAGGUCUCGGGGCUCCUGGGUUGCUUCUGGAAGGGCCCAGAUGGUGCCUGACUGGAGCUGCUGAGGGGUGGAGCUUCUGGGAAAAGGAUCCCUCCUAGGGGGAGUGUCUUGGGCCUGGGGCCAUGUGGCAGGGACAGAGACGGGUUCAUGGCAGUGUCUGCUCCUCUCUGUGAAGGCAAAGGGCCUCUGAGGGAGUAUUACAGCCGCCUCAUCCACCAGAAGCAUUUCCAGCACAUCCAGGUCUGCACCCCCUGGCUGGAGGGCCGAGGACUACCCCCGCUUCUAGGGUUGGUGGACCUGGGUGUCUGUCUGGACACAUCCUCCAGUGGCCUGGACCUGCCCAUGAAGGUGGUGGACAUGUUCAGGUGCUGUUUGCCUGCGUGUGCCGUGAACUUCAAGUGGUAGGAGCAGAAACCGAAUCUUUCUGGGGAUAGCUUCACAGAUCCACCGCUGAGGGGGAAGCAGUGCAGAGUGAGCUGCCCACAGUGAGGCCCUGCCCCUCGGUCAGUCCAGCACACACUGGAGGCCAUGAGGAGGA
rnacentral:lncRNA from 1 species